CCUACGGGAGGCAGCAGUGGGGAAUAUUGCACAAUGGGGGAAACCCUGAUGCAGCGACGCCGCGUGAGUGAAGAAGUAUUUCGGUAUGUAAAGCUCUAUCAGCAGGGAAGAAAAUGACGGUACCUGAUUAAGAAGACCAGGCUAACUACGUGCCAGCAGCCGCGGUAAGACGUAGGGGGCAAGCGUUAUUCGGAUUUACUGGGUGUAAAGGGAGCGUAGACGGCAGCACAAGUCUGGAGUGAAAGGGCGGGGCUUAACCCCGGAACUGCUUUGGAAACUGUGCAGAUAGAGUGCAGGAGAGGUAAGUGGAAUUCCUAGUGUAGCGGUGAAAUGCGUAGAUAUUAGGAGGAACCCCAGUGGCGAAGGCGGCUUACUGGACUGUAACUGACGUUGAGGCUCGAAAGCGUGGGGAGCAAACAGGAUUAGAUACCCUAGUAGUC
rnacentral:rRNA from 1 species